rnacentral:lncRNA from 1 species
AAAAAAACUUAAGAAAAAAGAAAUGGAAAAUCUGAAUAGUUUUUAUCUAUUAAAGAAAUUAAAUUCGUAAUAAAAAAAAACCUUUCUACUAAGAAAACUCCAGGCCCAGAUAGCUUCACAGGUGAAUUCCAUGAAACAUUCAACAAAGAAAUGAUACUAACCUAACACUAACUCUUUCAGAAAAUGGAGGAAGAAACAUUCCCAAUGUGUUUUAUGAGACCAACAUAACUUUGAUACUAAAAUCUGACAAAAAUAUUAUAAAAGAGGAAACUGAAGACCAAUAUCCCUCUGAAAAUAGACAAACGGGAAAAAUUCUCAACAAAAUAUAACGAUAUUGAAAGCAGAAAUUUAUAAAAAGUAUUGUACAUUAUGACCAAUGGAGAUUUAUUUCAGGAAUACAAGCUUAGGUUAACAUUUAGAAAUUAAUCAUUAUAAUUCAUUAUAUUAAAAGAACAAAGGAGAAAAAACAAAUUAUCAUUUCCAUAAAUGUGGCAAAAGCAUUUGACAAAAAUUCAACAUGCAUUUUUAAUCAAAAUUCUUGGGAAACUAGGAAUAGAAGGGAACUUUCUCAACCUGAUACAGGGCAUCUGUGAAAAAACUACAGCUACAUCAUAUGUGAUCGUUAAAGACUGAAUACUUUUCCUCUAAGAUCAGCAACAAGACAAGAAUGUCCAUUUUCACCACUGCCAUUUAACAUUGUACUCGAAGCCAGUGAGAUAAAGCAAGAAAAAGAAAUUAAAGGCAUAUAAAUUAGAAAGAAAGAAAUGAACUAUCAUUAUUUGCAGGCAACAAGAUCUUGUAUGUAGAAAAUCCUGAAGAACCUAUGGAAAAAAAUACUAGAAUUAAUAAAUGAAUCUAGCAACAUCAGAGGGUACAAGGUCAACACAAAAUCGAUUGAUCAGAAGCUUGGUUUGGGACAGGUUAAGUUUGAGAUGCCAAGUUGGCAUUUGAAUUUAAAAUCUAGGGUUCAAGGAAGAGGCCUGUCAUGGAGAUAUAAAUGUAGAAAUAGGUUUUAUAAGAUAUUUAAAACAUCUGGAUGAAUGAAAUCCCUAAGAAAUAAGGGUAAAGGGGGAAGAAAAGAGAUCCAAGGACUUAGGGUACUUUCCUAAAGAACCUCUUCUAAGUUGGGCACAGUUGCUCCUCCCUUGAAUCCUGAUUUUGAGGUGAGGGGCUUCUGCCUCAGGUGGACAUUCAACAGAAAAUAGUACUUCCUCCCAGGGACUCUCAUUUGAACAAUGAUAGGCUCCCCAUAGGUGAUGAAACUCUGUUGCCCACACAGUAGGUUUUUAUUAGUACUAACUGACUUUCUAGUUGGUAUUUGUGAUGACCUCGUUGACAAGCCCAGGGUCACUCAGAGGCUUGUGGCCAGAGUGCAUCAGUCCUUUCUGGCCUGGGAGAGGGGUCAGUUGAACCAUUAAAAGUAUGAAUCUUCUUUACAUUGAUUGCCCAAGAGGAGGCAUUUCUGCGAUAAGUAAUAGGGCUGUUUCUUCCUUUGGGUUUUUGUGCUUUGGCGUCUCAUUUAGUCCACGUGCAGUGCUUGGCUCUGUAGAGACAGGAAUACUGCAACGCAUCAUCGCGCUGCCAGCCUCGGAGCUCUUGUGUUGAUGGCUUGCUUCUGUUCCACCCCAGAUCUGGGAAGAUGAAAACUUUGGGCAUUUCAUAUGGCCUUGGGCUAUUGACAAUUGUGGAAUAUGGAGCCAGAUGGAUUUACAUUUUUUUUCUGAAGACAAAACAUAGCUUGCCUCUCUAAGAUCUUAUCUACUUAAUGAGCAGAGGCAGUAUAAUUAAGGCCUUUCUCCAGAGCUGUGGAUGUGCCAAAUUUACUGGAAAGUUUGUUUAGUUUUCAUAAAUCAAAUUGAUUUGGACCUUCACAUACUUGGGGGCCAGUCCUGACAUCCAUUAAUGGAGGCUGUUACAGUGGCUUUUGUUUUUUCUUCUUAUGGAGAAGUUGCCUUUGUUUAGAGGGAAGCUUCUUGGAUGGUGCUGCUGAGUAUGGCCAGAUGGCCACUCUCAAAACAAAGGCAUGGGAUGAAGGAGUGUUGCUUUUAAGUGGGAGGUGUGAGAGGUAGCGGGGCUCUGGGAAUGAGCGCUUUGGCAUGGAGCAAGUUCUCCUGAUCUGGGAUAACACAGGAGUGCCCAGUGUUAGGCAGCCCCUGACCAGCCACUUGGCUCCACUAGCUGUAAGAGGUCUUUAUAAUGGUUUUCCAAAGAACCUGGUAGAAUUAGAUGUAUUUGCAAUAUGCAUUCUAAACAAGCUGUUUGGAAUAAAUAUGCUGGCUACUAUGUUUUCUUGGCUCUUAUUCAUUGGUUAAUAAUGUGUUAUUUUUUUGGAAACAGCUCUUUCUCUGUUGGCUUGGAAGACGAACCCAAGAGAAAUAUUGUGUUGGAUUCUGUGCUAAUCUUUCAAAACAACACAUGUGCAAGAGUAGUUUGGCCAAACCUGGCUACAGUCUCAUAGAAACCCAUAGCGAGUGGAUCUGGACAGAGGGGGACUGAGGAUGGGAUGAAAACUCUGUUGGCAGAUCCUGAAGUUUCAAAUGUGGCAUCCGAUGGGCACUUUCUCAAGAGUAGAGAGAAAAGAGUAGGGGGCCCAGAUGGCACCCACGGAAUGAAGCACAUCACAACCUCUGCAAUGGCACUGAGAGACUAUCUUAGAUACAGGCUCCAAGGGAGGGGACCCAGAUCAGAGGAAGCUAGAGGGGACAGCACAGCAAGUCCUGCACCCACAACACACAGGCAGGGCAGCAGACAGACAACAGUCUGGUGGUGCGCUGAGCAGACUCAUCUCCCGUCAUGUGAAUGCUGUCCUGUCACCCGGCCUGCAGCACAUACUUGCUGGACAUGACUUAUUGUUCUGAAGCAGGUUCUUUUUACAGCCACAGCUGCUCAAUUAUGUUUCUGCAUUGUUUCCCGAUGGGCAGUGGGGAAAAGCCGAGAACAGCUGCAGCCUCCAUGAGAAUGAAGCCCAGUUCCUUGUGCAUUUGUGGCCCUGCCCACUGAGGGGCUAAACACAGAGGCCCUUGAAGAGGUGACCAAGCUGAGUUUCUAGUCCCUUCUUUGGUGACCACCUAAGAAUAUCAUUCAGCUACUCCUACAUGAAAAACCUGCAAGCUGGGGGUGGGGCCAGGACGAGAAUGGAGUCUUCCUGGCUAUGGAAGGCAGAGAGUGAAACUGGAGAGACCCUUCAGGGCCAAGGUGGGGCCGAGGGGGGCCGAGGUGGCCCUGUUACUGCAGAGGAGGUGGCCUCCCAUCAUCACCUGUCUCCUAUGGGCCUCUCUCCUGCAGUGCUGAUCAAGAGCUGACUUGCCCUCUGUCCCCACUCAGCACUGUUCAGAGACGUCAGAACAGACAUGGUCUCAGCCUUCAAAGGGUUAACUCUCCCAAAGGAAAAGUCCAGUCCUAUUCGACCAACAUUUAUGGAGCAUCUGCCCCUGCCAGAAACCAUGUUCUUUCUGUGGGUGCCAUCCAGUUCUUGGCCUUGGGAAGCUUCCAGGCUAGUGAGCCAGUAACCCCAUUUACUCACACGAGUUCUCAGAGCAGCCACCAACAUUUGCUGGACUAACAUGUGCCAGGCAGCAUCUCCUGCAUAGUCACAUUUAAGCCUCCCAGCAGUUCUAUGUGUUUGGCACUAUGAUUAUCACCCUGUUUUAUAGACGGGGAAACUGAGGCUUAGAGAAUUAGGUAACUUGCCUAAGGCCACCCACCAGUCAAUGGAAGAAUCCACACUCUUUACCAGAGCCAGAGGACCGAGAAAAGACAUAUUCUAAUCUAGCUCUUGUGAUAAGCAGUUGAUAGUACAUAUAAAAGUGUGCCAUGGAGGGCCAAGGUGGCUGCUCUGGUACAGAGAUUAAGGAAGGCUCUUCAGAGACCACACAUGAGACAGAUUUGGGAAGACAAAUGGAAUUUCAACAAGUGUAGAUGGGGAGAAAAAUUCCCAAGCAGAGGACCAGCCUUAGCAAAGUUGGCACAGUGUCAAGGCUAAGCAUGGCGUGAUCAGGAGAAGAAGUCUGAUGUGGCUGGAACCUGGCCUUUGUGAGAGAAGGUGGUGGAAGAUGACAUGGACAGCUAAGAUUCUAGAGGUCUGACUUUAUGAAGCAGAUGGUGAGAGCCAUGAGGAUUUUGGGCAGUGCUGUAUCUGAUUCAGGUGCAGAUUUGGGGUUGAUAGACAUAUCUGAUGAACUCCAGGUGCACAGGUGGCUGGCCUUCCUGGGGCAGUGCCAGCUGCUAACAUUCAUGAAAAAGUCAGUAUUUGUUCUGCGUGUCUCCAUAGCUGCUACCAUGCUGGAGACUUUAUAUUCAUUAUUUCUAGUCUUUACCACGGCCCUGCAAAGCAGAUGAGGAAACUGAAGCUCAGAGAGGUUAAGUCAUCUCCUCAAGGCCACCUAGCUAAUGCGUGAUGGAGCUACAAGUCAGACCCAGGUCUGUGUAAUUCCAAAGCUAUGCUCUUUGCACAACACAUGGGCCAUUUCCCAGUAGAUCAGAAUGUGAAAUGACCAUUUUCCUGUUCAUCCUCACUCCUGGGAGGCCACCUUCCCAGGUGUGAGUUGACGAUGAGGCUGUCACCUAGCACUGACUUCAACUGCAGGGAGGUACCUUCCACCAGAGUCUUCCGUUGCCAUCACCGAAGACAGAAAGGGCUGGGAAUACACACAGAGGGAGGCACUCGCUCACCAGAGCGCAGUCUCUGAAGAAUAACUUGUAUUUGGAGGCAAGAGGGGUGAGCUUCCUGUCUCCUGCUCCGUCUAUCAUCCUUCUGCAACAGCCACAGCCUCUGCAAGGCCGCCUCUGCACUGCUCAGGUGCACAACAGUUUGGAGUGGAACCAACUCUGGGCCAAUUAAAUGGCGGACGGGAGCCUUGAUAGAAUUCCGCAGGUUGCAGUGAACACUCUCUAGGACAGAUGCCUGAAGGUGGAAUUGCCAGAGCAAAGGCUCAUGAAAUGGGGUUCCUAGUGGCCCCCUGGCUACCAGCUCAGCUCACCACUGAGGAGGCACCACCAAGAACGUUGCCAGAGGAGGUAUCCAAGGAAGGCAGGGCUGGGACUCAAUCCAAAUGACAAAUGCCACGACAGACUCAUCAUUCUGACCACCUUGGUGUUGUUAUUGACCCAGCGUGUCAUGCAUGAUGCUCUCCAAGAAGGCCCCUGGUGGCCUGCCCACAGCUCACCAGACAUGCCUGAACAUGUGUGAGUCCCAGUGGAUCAGAUCCAUCUUCCAGUCCAGCCUCCAAGACUUCUGAGCUUUCAUUAGACCUCUCUGCUCCAUAUGCUGGAAGCUUUAUGGCCCAUCACCUGCACCCUGAGCUUUAGCUGGUCUCAUGGGUUCUGAAACUUAGCCCACACCUUUUCAUCUCAGAGCCUCAGUGCCCUUGUCUCCACAUGUCGGCAUCCUAUGCGUCGUCAGCUCUGUAUCCUCCCGAAAGCAUUGUUUGGCAUCUAGCACACACAGUAAGUGCCAAAUAAACAUCUUAGAAUGAACAAUGGAGGGCCGUGAAAAGCCCUGUCGUUUUAAAGUUCUGUCCAGUUGGCAAAGCACAUUCAUUGUCAUUUUUGAAACAGUAAUGUCCUCAGGGCCAUCCAGGAGGGGGAAGUCCUGUUCCUGGCUUCCCUCACUCUACAAACAUUUCAUCACCUCCUCCUUUGUCCUAACAUGAUGCCAGGCACCAGAGGCAGAGAGACAAGUCAAACCUGGUCCCUCCCCUCCAGGAGCUCACGAUCUAAAAUUAAGAUAAAGAAAGUGGACACAAUUCAAUGUGGCAAGUGCCCUGCUGAGGCCUGUCCCCCAUGCCAAGGAGACUAGAGAAGAGCGUGGCUCCCCUACACUUCAUAACCUAAGACAAAGCCUAGUUAGCCUCUGGCUAUAUGCAGCUGUCAGUGAUGGGAGUCCCUAAGCAGCCAUCUGGUGCUAUUUGGCAUCCUGGUAGAAGAUUAUUUCAGUCACUUGGCAAUCAUUUAUUGAGCACCUACUAUGGGCCUGGCAGAGAGGAACGCGGACAUGGAUAAACACACAUGUCAUCCUGGAGGCACUUGCUGUACAAGUACAUUUUCUCAUGUAUAAAGAGUGAAAUCACGACCCAGGAGAUCACUAACAGCUGCCGCGUCCACCGCACAGGCUCACAGAGCAGCAACAAGGGCUGAAGAAGUCAACAAGGCAGGAAGUGCUUCAGGGCUCUGUUCCCUGAGCCUGACACACGGGGCAAUUGGCAUGCCUCUCUUGCUUUCACCCAGGAAUAGGUAAUGUGAAGAUUAAACAGAGCAAUUUAAUCCAACAGGAGGGCAGCAGCCUAUGGAGGAAGCAGAACUUAUUUAGAAGAAAGAAGUUUCCAAAAAAUCGAGAACAGUAUCAGAGGCUUUUAACAAACACAACUGGAUUUCAUAUUUAUUCUGCUUUCAUAAUAGGAUUUGACCUAUUCUGAAAUGAACUAUUUUUUUAAAUUAUCCGCCAGAUCUCACAACAGAAGGCAUUAGGUUUUUUUCUCCCUCAAAUCAACAUUUUAAUUUUAGAGACACAGUUAAAAGAAAAUCACUGAGACUAAGGUAUCUAGCAUUUCGAGAUGAAACAGUGAAACUUUAAAAUGGGGAAGUUCACCAGGCCAGCCCCCCAUCCCUGGUUUGGCCAAUUUGUAGGAAGUGACCUUCUCAGAAGGAUUGGAAGUCUGAGCAAAGCCAACCACUAGCUUCCAAAUUGAUUUUCAAACCAAAAUUGGAACAGUUCUCAAAUGCUCCUGGGAUUUGGGACUAUUAAUACCGAAGAACAAUAAGAAGGAAAAAGUGAGUGUGUAAGAGGUGAUUUAUGACCCAGAGGAAGUUGCAAGCUCGGAAACUUGUAUGCAACCCAAUCACAGACCCCUCUGGAGAGGUUCCAGGGAAGAGAUGGAGAAUGUAAAGGGAGAGCAUUUCCGAGGGAUAUUAAAGCUUAUAAAAGGAGGUAGUGUGGGCUUUGGGCCUGAAAUGAGCGAGCGAGGAGCUGACCAUGUUGAACUUCUCAUAACCACAGCAGGUUUCUGUGCAGCUGUCAUCGGCGCCUGAGACACCCCACGAGCCUUUCCUUGUAUUUAUUUCUUACUAUUAGUUCAUCACCGAGCAGGUUAAAUGGCAGGAAGAGUCUCCCCAUCAGAGUGUGGGACUGUGACUGCUGCUGCCUAAACCUGUGGUCUGUCUCGGGUGUCACGUUCUCGGGUGUCAAGGCUGUGGCUCCAGCUGCUAACCCGUAAGACCAGCCAUGGCCAAGGUGCAGUGGCGGUGCACAGGACAGCGAGGUCGGGCCCCCAGAGCCCGCCCAGGUGUUCGGGGAUUGGACACCUAACCUCGCCUUGGUUUUCAUAGUUCGUGUGAAAGUUAUUUAUUAUUAUUUAUAGCUUUAUUGAGGUAGACUUGAUAUACAAUAAAUUACACAUAUUUAAAGUGUGCUGCUUGCACACGUUAUACAUGUGUAUGUCUACAGACAUGUGCAUAUACAUAUGUGUCUUUACUUGAAGGACUAGAGAAUCAGAUAAUCCAUACAAUGUUUUGGCUGUGUGCAGGGCAUUCCUGUGGGAUGUCCACCAAUCACAUUUCUUGGGAGUAACAAAAACAAGAGGAGGAAAGUCUGCUGAGAUGGGCUUCCAGCUAUCAAUCCUUGAGAGACAAGAGGUGGGACCAAUUGCAAAUAGACCCAAAUUCCCCAAAUGGCCAGGAAAAUGUCUCUUUCUAAAAAUGAGUAGCAGGUAAUAAUCCAGUCUAGGAAGUCAAAACAAUACCUUGCACUCGUGCAGUUUUUUUAUAGUUUUAAAAAUGUUACACUACCAGGAUUUCACUGUGGAGGUACAAUAUAUCUGAGUUGUUGUUAUGAUUAUUACUAGUCAUCAUUUACCAAUUCUGCUUCUUGGACAUCAUUCUAUGGCUAAAUGGGAGAGGGUAGAAGGGAUUCAUGUCACUGGAGGGCUGUGGCUGUUUCUAAGACUGGAAGUCCCACUGAGGAAGCCUCUGAAGUGUUGACCAGACGACUUUUCACUGUUAACACUACUUCCACUCACAGCAUCCACCUCAACCCUCCGCUGCCCAGACUGCGCCUCCAGAUAACGCACAUGGCUGCCAGCAGAAUGAUAAUGGAGAAAAUACUGUGUGUUUAAUCAGUAUCAUCCAAGGAAAGGGGUGGGAGGAGGGCAGGGGUGCAGAAAGGUCUGGGAAUGGGGAGAGAUCUAGUAUAUGGAGAAGAGUCAAGCCUCAUAAAGGCAUUUUAUGGUGUGGCUAGGACCAGAAUUGUUGGCAUCACGUGUUUACUGGUCCCCCAGGCUCUGCAAGAACUGGGAAGUGCCUCCACUCCCAAUCUCCCCUUUUGCCAACUGCAUUCUUGCUGACUUAGCAGUUCUUCAGAAAGUCACCUCUGCUCUCACUUGGAAUGUUUAAGUUCGAUAUUCAUAAACGGGAUGAGGAAGAAACUUCUAAAAUCAAGGGCUUGGCUCGUUGUGGAGGCAAAAGUUCUGUUUGGAGGGAGCAUCUGGAAAAGCACCCCCUCAAGUAUGUGUUGAAUCGCUGGGUGGUCGGCAGCGCCAAGGCAGGGCGAGGCCAGGCUUUCCGAUGUCUUCCCAGAAACGGCCUGGCGGGAAGGUCAGCUCCUUCCUCAUCAAACUCCUCCUGACCAGAGGGCAGAUACCACCCUGCACUUUGCGGUCCUCCACACUGAAUGGGGUGAGCACGGAGGCCCGAGGUUCUGCAGUGACUUCUGCACUUUGGAAACAACGUGGAGCGCACAAAGGCCGUGGCUCAAGCAGAGCAGUGUGCGGGCAGGAGGGCUCCUCGCUCAGGGCGGGGCGAUGAAGGGCGUGGAUGCCGGCCUGCCCAGGAGGCCUUCCUGUGCGCUGUCCUGCUGCCGCAGCAGGGGCAGAUGGAGCUGGAUUAGAUCCAGGCUGCCUGCAGCAGGGGUUAAAGACAGAAGAUUUGGAGUAGAACAUAAGGCCCAGGGAGGAAAGUGCCUCUAAAUACCUGUAAAUUUUCUUCUCUUGAAAAUGGACCUUAAUACCAGCUAAGAUCAAAUUAAAAGCUCAAACUGAAUAGGGCAUCUUAAAUUUCAAGUGUUUGUCUUUGGCACGUGUUUUUCCUUGGUUCCUUCAUUCAACAUACUUUUUAUCGUUUGUCUUAUGAACAGAAUUUUAAGAAUUUGAAAUUUUCGUAACUGUUUUUAA